UACGUAGGGUGCAAGCGUUAUCCGGAAUUAUUGGGCGUAAAGAGCUCGUAGGCGGUUUGUCGCGUCUGCUGUGAAAACUGGAGGCUCAACCUCCAGCCUGCAGUGGGUACGGGCAGACUAGAGUGCGGUAGGGGGAGACUGGAAUUCCUGGUGUAGCGGUGAAAUGCGCAGAUAUCAGGAGGAACACCGGUGGCGAAGGCGGGUCUCUGGGCCGAUACUGACGCUGAGGAGCGAAAGCGUGGGGGAGCGAACAGG
rnacentral:rRNA from 1 species